UUUUACACAAAGGUUUGACUCGGGUACAUUCACAAAAAAGCCGAGGUUGCAUUUUGGUGAGAGUUUCACUUUAAGUGGUGAUACCCGCAAGAAAAUGUGGUCAUAGAAACACAGAAAAGUGAUGGUUAACUAUACAAAACAUAAGCAGGAUACAAAGCUGCAGAAACACUACAUAUAAUUUCCAAUCAUAAAGAGUAAGUCUAAAAAAAGUUUGGAAACAAUUAUGUCUCCAGUAGAGUGACAAUUUUUUUUGUUUUUUUCUUUUAAUUUAGAAGAAAGUAUUAGGAAUAUGUGAUGUGCAAGCUAGACGUUAUGUUACUCUGAGCUGCAGUGAUAAUAAGAGUGUAAAACCAGUGACACUGUCAGGAGUCCUGCUGUGAAUCUAACAACCUCUGUGUGGCUAAAAUGCAGCAUCGACAAUUAUCCUCAUCGUGUCAGGAGCUCUGUUUUUAAAACCACAUGUGGAAAAUGUGGAACAGAAAGGUGAUUCAACUGAUGUCUAAAAAUAUAAGUGGGUUCUCCUGUGGGAAUAAAGACCAAGUGAUCCGAUUGGUCAGUAGUCAGGCUGCUGACAGGUUUUGAUUUGAUCUUCUGGGGUUAGCUGUGCAGCACAGGUUACCAUGGUGAUCUACCCCAGUUAAAAGCGAGACAGUGGUAACCUGCUAAUCUCGCUUCGCAGGGACGAGCUCUGAACAGCCCUGUUAUCGCAGGAGGAAUAUGGAUGCUGAUCAGUUCCAUGAACACAGCUGACAGUAGAGGACCUGCUGGACAGGAACACGUAUCACCCUCGUACUCAAACACUGAAGACUUUCAAUGAUUAUGAUGUAGCUGGUUCAGUGAAGGGCAUUCAGCACAAACAAACUGUGUAAUUAAUUUGCAUUUGCAAAAGA